CCUUUUAAAGAAAGAUGUGGAAGAAGGUUUGAACACAGAAUUCCACGGCGGCAUGCCCGAGUUCCUUCACUGCCAGCUGGAAUUAUAAGGAAUACAAUGCAAGGUGGAUGAGUCUGGGGGCCUCAGAC